rnacentral:telomerase_RNA from 1 species
CAACGGGGUGGGAACCUAGGAGAUGGGUCUGCUUAUUUACUACUAAACCCUGAACCCUCCCAUGAUUACACGAUGGGAAUGAUAUAAUGUUGGGGGUCUUUGGCCGGCGUUUCCCCCGAAAAAUAAUUAAAAAACGUCGAUGGCUACAUAAGAGGCUCGUCUCCUUAAACAGUGAAUAAGGUUGGGUUUGGUUCGUAGGUGGUUCUGCUGAAGCUAGUUUAGUGUCUGCGGUUAACCGUUUCCUCGCCUUACCCUCCCACCCCCAAAUUUU